rnacentral:rRNA from 1 species
UUUGUCCUACGGGAGGCAGCAGUGGGGAAUAUUGCGCAAUGGGCGAAAGCCUGACGCAGCGACGCCGCGUGAGGGAUGAAGGUCUUCGGAUCGUAAACCUCUGUCAGCAGGGAAGAACGGUCACUGUGCUAAUCAGCAGUGAAUUGACGGUACCUGCAAAGGAAGCACCGGCUAACUCCGUGCCAGCAGCCGCGGUAAUACGGAGGGUGCGAGCGUUAAUCGGAAUUACUGGGCGUAAAGCGCUCGGAGGCGGUAUGUCAAGUCAGAUGUGAAAUCCUAUGGCUUA